AUCAACACCAAGGCCAACUACCUACAGUUUAUGUCUAAAGUUGCCGAGUACUACUGGAGUUUGAUUGACUUCUACAACGACGGCCUGUUCUUGGACUACGACGUUGGAGUUUGAUUGACUCCUACAACGACGGCAUGUUGCUCGACUACGACGUUGGAGUGCUCUUCAGGAAGCUGGACGCUAACAGCAAUAGGACGGUAGAUAGGCUGGAAUUUUCAACUUGGUUCGAUAGGGCUUCUGUACAAGCUUUGUCAGCCUAACAGGAAAUGUGCUACAACGGGUAAAUAUCUCGAUACUGACCUUACGACACCAUAGAAUAUAACAAAGUGGAACUGUUUAAUCACAUAACGUUUGAACAUUGUUUAAAUGAGCUGGUUUCGACACAUUAAAAUUUUAAUUUGAA